rnacentral:rRNA from 1 species
UACAGAGGUCCCAAGCGUUGUUCGGAUUCACUGGGCGUAAAGGGUGUGUAGGCGGUGGGGAAAGUUGCGUGUUAAAUCUCAAGGCUCAACCUUGAAACCGCUCGCAAUACUACUCUGCUCGAGGACUGUAGAGGAGAAUGGAAUUCACGGUGUAGCAGUGAAAUGCGUAGAUAUCGUGAGGAAGACCAGUGGCGAAGGCGAUUCUCUGGGCAGUUCCUGACGCUGAGACACGAAGGCCAGGGGAGCAAACGGG